UACGGGGGGGGCAAGCGUUGUUCGGAAUUACUGGGCGUAAAGCGCGUGUAGGCGGCCCUGCAAGUCUGGGGUGAAAUCCCGCGGCUCAACCGUGGAACUGCCUUAGAUACUGACGGCCUCGAGGGAGAUAGGGGCGAGCGGAACUGUGAGUGGAGCGGUGAAAUGCGUUGAUAUUCACAGGAACUCCGGUGGCGAAGGCGGCUCGCUGGAUCUUUUCUGACGCUGAGGCGCGAAAGCUAGGGGAGCAAACGGG
rnacentral:rRNA from 1 species